AUUGAACGCUGGCGGCAGGCCUAAUACAUGCAAGUCGAACGGUAACAUAAGAAAAGCUUGCUUUUCUUGAUGACGAGUGGCGGACGGGUGAGUAAUAUUUGGGAAACUACCUGAUAGAGGGGGACAACAGUUGGAAACGACUGCUAAUACCGCAUACAGCCUCAGGGUGAAAGAAGCGAUUCGCUAUCAGAUGUGCCCAAACGGGAUUAGCUAGUAGGUGAGGUAAAGGCUCACCUAGGCGACGAUCUCUAGCUGGUCUGAGAGGAUGAUCAGCCACAUUGGGACUGAGACACGGCCCAGACUCCUACGGGAGGCAGCAGUAGGGAAUAUUGCACAAUGGAGGAAACUCUGAUGCAGCCAUGCCGCGUGUGUGAAGAAGGCCUUCGGGUUGUAAAGCACUUUCGGAGGGGAGGAAGAAAAUGACGUUACCCUCAGAAGAAGCACCGGCUAACUCCAUGCCAGCCGCCGCGGUAA
rnacentral:rRNA from 1 species